UACGUAGGGUGCAAGCGUUAAUCGGAAUUACUGGGCGUAAAGCGUGCGCAGGCGGUUGUGCAAGACAGAUGUGAAAUCCCCGGGCUUAACCUGGGAAUUGCAUUUGUGACUGCACGGCUAGAGUGUGUCAGAGGGGGGGUAGAAUUCCACGUGUAGCAGUGAAAUGCGUAGAUAUGUGGAGGAAUACCGAUGGCGAAGGCAGCCCCCCUGGGAUAACACUGACGCUCAUGCACGAAAAGCGUGGGGGAGCAAAACAGGG
rnacentral:rRNA from 1 species